rnacentral:rRNA from 1 species
CACGUAGGGAGCAAGCGUUGUCCGGAUUUAUUGGGCGUAAAGAGCUCGUAGGUGGUUCGGUAAGUCAGGUGUGAAACCUCCAGGCUCAACCUGGAGACGCCACUUGAUACUGCUGUGACUGGAGUCCGGUAGGGGAGCGUGGAUUCCUGGUGUAGCGGUGAAAUGCGUAGAGAUCGUGAGGAAGACCAGUGGCGAAGGCGGGUCUCUGGACAGUUCCUGACACUGAGGCACGAAGGCCAGGGGAGCAAACGGG